rnacentral:rRNA from 1 species
GACGGGGGGAGCUAGCGUUGUUCGGAAUUACUGGGCGUAAAGGGCGUCUAGGCGGAUCGGCAAGUCAGAGGUGAAAGCUCCUGGCUCAACUGGGGGACUGCCUUUGAAACUGUCGAUCUUGAGUGUGGGAGAGGUGCGGAGAAUUCCCAGUGUAGCGGUGAAAUGCGUAGAUAUUGGGAAGAAUGCCGGUGGCGAAGGCGCCGCACUGGCCUGACACUGACGCUGAAGCGCGAAAGCGUGGGGAGCGAACAGG